GUGACACCAGUUCCCGUAUGAUCACCGAAGUUAAGCAACGUCGAGCCUAUUCAGUACGUAGAUGGGUGACCGUUUGGAAAUGCCAGGCACUGUAA